UGCACUCAUUACUGUAAAUUGCUCUGGAUAAGAGCAUCUGCUAAAUAAUGUAUG
rfam:Salmo salar isolate Sally breed double haploid chromosome ssa17, whole genome shotgun sequence.